rnacentral:rRNA from 1 species
GGGUCAGUAGGUUGGUCGUGCCACCGGUACGUACUGGUCUCACUGAUUCCUCCUUCCUGAAGAACCGUAAUGCCAUUAAUUUGGUGUUGCGGGGAAACAGGACUGUUACUUUGAAAAAAUUAGAGUGUUUAAAGCAAGCUAACGCUUGAAUACAUUAGCAUAGGAUAAUGAAAUAGGACGAUCGAUCCUAUUUUGUUGGUUUCUAGGAUUGACGUA